GACGAACGCUGGCGGCGUGCUUAACACAUGCAAGUCGAACGGAGAGGCCCUGCUUUUGUGGGGUGCUCGAGUGGCGAACGGGUGAGUAACACGUGAGUAACCUGCCCUUGACUUUGGGAUAACUUCAGGAAACUGGGGCUAAUACCGGAUAGGAGCUCCUGCUGCAUGGUGGGGGUUGGAAAGUUUCGGCGGUUGGGGAUGGACUCGCGGCUUAUCAGCUUGUUGGUGGGGUAGUGGCUUACCAAGGCUUUGAAUGGUAGCCGGCCUGAGAGGGUGACCGGCCACAAUAGGACUGAGAUACGACCCAGACUCCUACGGGAGGCAGCAGUGGGGAAUAUUGCACAGUGGGCGGAAGCCUGAUGCAACAACGCCGCGUGCGGGAUGACGGCCUUCGGGUUGUAAACCGCUUUCGCCUGUGACGAAGCGUGAGUGACGGUAAUGGGUAAAGAAGCACCGGCUAACUACGUG
rnacentral:rRNA from 1 species